AUUUAUACAGCUCUCUGUGCUCUCUCUGUGCUCUGUGGGCUCUGCUCUCUGUGCUCUGUGUUCUCUGAGCACUCUGUCCGGGAAACGGUAGCAAUAGACAGACAGAGACUCGCGCCCGACCAGGAAGAUGACGUUGCAAAAUGGGUUAUACAGAGAGUGAGAGCGGGUGGCCUCCCGAACAUGAAGACGUGGCCGACUUGCAAGUGGUUGCUCUCAUGGCUAUGGUCCCAUCGGAAAAAGAUGAAUCAGCAGGUUCCUCAAGCGCGCCAUGGUGUUCUCAAGUCGGGUGUGGAGGCGGUACGAAUGGACGACAAACGGUCGGUUCUAUACCCACAUUGGACGCGAAAAGUUCGCCAGUAUCGCCUACUAUGACGUUUGGAACAUGGACCAGAUGGGCAACGGUGGAGAGUGACUGUCAUGCUGAACAGACAAUGUUUCAGAGGACACCGAAAGCCGGAAAGUGGAAUACCGUGGUUGAGGCGGUUUCUGCCGGAGGAAAACCAUCCCACCACUGGUCACCUUCAGAGGGUGCGAUCCAGACAAGAGCACUCGACAGCUCCGUCAGGGGUGGCAUGUGACCGUGCAAAAGAAGGCUUGAUUGAUUGACAACUGAAAUUUUCGACGUGAAUAGCGACCGUCGAUGAAGCUGUCCUCACGCCUCCCGAGGAUGAGUCUACCUUGAUCUCGGAUGAUUCUCUGGACGAUUCAUUGAGUUUCCCGACAUCCGUGGGCAAGAAAAACCCGUUCUCUGCCAGCCCCGGAGCCCAGAAAGCCUGGGAGGAGCUUUGUGCUUCAAGGAGGACCUCUGAUAUCGAGCUUCGUGAGUACCUGUGGGAAUGUAUUCUAAGCCGACUUUUACAGAGUCAGGGCUUGAAAAAUCAAGAGCACUUCAUGUAGUCUUGAUGAAGGGGUCCUAAAGACUAGACGGACGGACGAGGAGAGUGAAAGUGAGGUUGAGGUGGCACCGCAUGACAAUCUCCUCUUCGCAGUCAUCUGAUAGAUCUUCCCCGCCCCAGCUCCGGCGGCCAACGACUUCCCUAGGCGACGCGGGAGAUCUUGUGCUGCUUCCACCGAAACUUUCGAGGCUGGGCUAGUGCCAGGAGCUGAUACGAGUACCCCUGUCCAGAAACGCCCGAGAGGAAGACCUCGAAAACAGUGAGCUGUUCAGAUGUCGAUAGGCCGAGAAAGAGAGGACGUCCGCCGAAGAAUACGCUACCCGAGGCUCCACCACACUCUACUUGUGUACCAGUCGUCGAGACCUUGGGUAAUGUGUCUCGUUGCAGUGGUCAAUGACUUCUAGGACUCCAACCAGCACAUUAGGUGGGAACGCUUGUGCAAUGUGGUGUGUAACCUGGGUGGAUAUACUUGAUAGUAGUUGUGUAAUAAUCAUUGUGAUUUGAACCAACUACUUUAUGAACAUCCAUACUUUCCUUCAUAAUACAAAUCAGGACAAGCCUUGUCAACCAGAUAACUGAAAGACCUUUGCGUGAAGACCUGUACAAGUGUACUAGUAGCUGUUUGUGCUUAAGGACAACGGUUGGUGCUCAGCUGAGAUCUUGGGUCAUUUCUGAUGCUGAGUAAGAGAUGUCUUUCACGUAUGAAUCUGUGGAGUCAAGACUUGUUUAUGGAUAAUCAACCAAUGGUGUUUUUCGCCUUACAAGCGGAA
rnacentral:misc_RNA from 1 species